GCCAGCGUGACGGAAUUGGUAGACGUAUCGCUACAGCGAUCCUCGCCGUUAGGCGAAGGUGCGGGUUCGAUCCCCUGCCGCUGGCA
rnacentral:tRNA from 1 species